rnacentral:lncRNA from 1 species
GCCAUUGAUUAUUGUCCUGAAAUUCCUAGGUCCAGUCAUAGAUAAAAGGAUAAUGACUUCAAAGGGAAGAGUUAAGAGUUUAACCCCAAGCUAAGAGAGUGGACAACUAGGUAAUUGAGGGUAAUAACCCAUCACAGACUUGCUUUCAAAGGAUCACCAAGCUGAACUCUCAGGUGGCUUUAAUUUUAUUAACAUUUGUAGCCGCUGACUUGAGAAGCCGGUCUGGAGUCAUUACGAGCUUCAAAGCUCCAGCUCCCUCCCUGCCCUGCACACCUGCAUGCGGCCUUUUGGUACAUCCACAGGUGAGCGCCAGCCUCCUCUCGGUCACUAUGGCCC